UACGUAGGUGGCAAGCGUUGUCCGGAUUUACUGGGCGUAAAGAGCGCGCAGGCGGUCGUUCAAGUCGAGUGUGAAAGCCCCCGGCUCAACUGGGGAGGGUCACUCGAUACUGAUCGACUCGAAGGCAGAAGAGGGAAGCGGAAUUCCCGGUGUAGUGGUGAAAUGCGCAGAUAUCGGGAAGAACACCCGUGGCGAAGGCGGCUCUCUGGGACGGUACUGACGCUGAGACGCGAAAGCGUGGGGAGCGAACAGG
rnacentral:rRNA from 1 species